rnacentral:rRNA from 1 species
CUAACACAUGCAAGCCGAGCGGUAUUGUUUCUUCGGAAAUGAGAGAGCGGCGUACGGGUGCGGAACACGUGUGCAACCUGCCUUUAUCUGGGGGAUAGCCUUUCGAAAGGAAGAUUAAUACUCCAUAAUAUAUUGAACGGCAUCGUUUAAUAUUGAAAGCUCCGGCGGAUAGAGAUGGGCACGCGCAAGAUUAGCUAGUUGGUGAGGUAACGGCUCACCAAGGCGAUGAUCUUUAGGGGGCCUGAGAGGGUGAUCCCCCACACUGGUACUGAGACACGGACCAGACUCCUACGGGAGGCAGCAGUGAGGAAUAUUGGUCAAUGGGUGCAAGCCUGAACCAGCCAUCCCGCGUGAAGGACGACUGCCCUAUGGGUUGUAAACUUCUUUUGUAUAGGGAUAAACCUUUCCACGUGUGGAAAGCUGAAGGUACUAUACGAAUAAGCACCGGCUAACUCCGUGCCAGCAGCCGCGGUAAU